rnacentral:tRNA from 1 species
CAGGGAGUAGUUUAGAAUAAGAAUAUCAGCUUUGGGAGUUGAAGGCGGAAUUUGUGUUUCUUCCCUGA